CGGUGUCAGUCCAUAGACUAUAAUUUAUUAAACAUCAAAUUCGAACAUGGCACAUUCAACAUGGCAGGUUCUUUCAACAAUUUCUAAUUGGAGUACUCAUCCAGGGAUUCGUCACAAGCAGGUUUCUUGCCUCGAUUGGAGGCAGUUCCCCAGGCGUCCGCAACAGGC